CUCACACACACGCGCGCCAAACACUCUCUCUCUCCUCCUCUGCCUCUCUCUCUCAGUCUGUCUCUCCCUCCCUCAGCUUCACUCGCUCUUGUGCUGUAAGUUCAUUCGCUGUGUCAAGCAACAACUGGCUCGGGAGUGGGCAGUGGGUUUUGAUCCUUUUGUCAAGCAUCCCCCCUGCAAGUGUGUACCGCGUCCACCUGCACACCGCGGGACUGGCCGCCUGGCUCUCUCUAACAUCGCCGUACCAUCCUGGGUUUAUCACGAUCCGGCAUCCCACCUUGCUGAGAUGGACGGCACAAUGAGAUGCUAAAGGUUUGACGGGGCGAACCUGCUACUUUGGACUAUCAUCAUCACCAUCAUCGGGAUCAUCGCAGUGGCAAUGGGAGUCAGGACAUGGAUGCUAGCCGGAGGAUCUCCGCAGGGUCCUUGCAUCCCAGACGAGCCGUUGAGAAGCCCUUGCCUUGCGCUACAAAGCAUCUUCAAUCAAUUGUUUUGAAAAGGCCUUUCCGUUUUCUGACGAUGCCGGCGGUUCUGUUGUUUCUCUCUGUAAAGGACUCUCUUCGGUGACGGGUAUUCUUGGGUGGAUAAUACGGCUCUCGUUGUUAUUGCUUAAGAAUACGCGUAGUCGAGGAGAGUCAUGUCGGCGGCAACUGCAAUGGACUAGAGAGAGCGUUGAAUCCAGAAGGCCCACCUGCCUGCACGCACACAUGCGUUUGCUAACGCCGAGGUUCACGCCCACAUCCAUUUAUUGAGUCAGUGAAGCUGCAUUUCCUGUUUGUGUGUGAUGCUUGUGCUGUUGAUUUAUCCGGCUACUCCUGCUUUUCAGCCAGCGCAAAGGAAAAACUGUGUUUUUUAUGAUUCGCCGUCCUCACUCCAAAGGCUGUGUAUUGUACCGUCCCGGGCUGGGUUGUAGAUGCAAAUGUGUUCCAUUUGUGUCAUAUAUUCUUUUUUCUCAGGACCGCACACACACUCUACCUUUUUAAUGCAAAUUGAUUUUGAAAUGACAUUUAUCGUGCAGGGGUUCCAUAUGGUACUAUGGGGGAUGGGAUGGAUGAAAAAAAAAAAAAGAAUGGAAUGUCCACGAUGCCACUGACAGCUAAAUUUAUGCAGAUUGUAAAGGAACACACUGCAGAUAAACAGUUACCACAGCUUUAGAUUGACCGCGGCGUGGCUUCCCGUGUAGGCACGCGUAUAUCAUGAAUAUGUAUUACGCGAGCAUAUGAUGCUGCAUUCUAACAUCCAUGAAAUCCAUUUAGGGAACCUAAUAGGAUCUACUUGACUUAUGAAAGCUUAUGAUCAAAUCUUAUAAAUAUACAUGAGAUAGUUUUAUGUGAAAAAAAAGGAUUCUUUUGCUUUUUUUAUAUAGAUGUAGUUUGCAUAAAAACGAAGAGACUGCAUUCGGACUGGCUGUUGAUGUAUUGACAUGGACGAUUUGCAAAUCUGCAAACAUUUGAAUUUGUUCUCCAUUAUCAUUCGGCACAUUUAAGUCAUGCAUUAGCAUUUGAGAUAGACUAAAGGCAACAAUCAGCCCGCUCUGUCCUUGAUCACUCUGUAAUUAUCAUUCUUUCGGCUGUGUG